rnacentral:pre_miRNA from 1 species
AGGAGGAACAACCCCAGUGGCAGCGGCCAGCUCUGGAGCCCUGGAGUCAGCUACCACAGUAACUCCGGAGCUCUCUGUCUGUAGGGCCUGGAUGCUCUGGGGCCGG